rnacentral:rRNA from 3 species
GCGACCCCAGGUCAAGCGGGGCUACCCGCUGAGUUUAAGCAUAUCAAUAAGCGGAGGAAAAGAAACUAACAAGGAUUCCCU